rnacentral:rRNA from 1 species
GACGAACGCUGGCGGCGUGCUUAACACAUGCAAGUCGAACGAUGAAGCUGGAGCUUGCUCCGGUGGAUUAGUGGCGAACGGGUGAGUAACACGUGAGCAAUCUGCCCUUGACUCUGGGAUAACUGCGGGAAACUGUAGCUAACACCGGAUACUUUCACUGGAAGGCAUCUUCUGGUGAAGAAAGAAUUUCGGUCAAGGAUGAGCUCGCGGCCUAUCAGCUUGUUGGUGAGGUAACGGCUCACCAAGGCGACGACGGGUAGCCGGCCUGAGAGGGUGGCCGGCCACACUGGGACUGAGACACGGCCCAGACUCCGACGGGAGGCAGCAGUGGGGAAUAUUGCACAAUGGGCGCAAGCCUGAUGCAGCAACGCCGCGUGAGGGAUGAAGGCCUUCGGGUUGUAAACCUCUUUUAGCAGGGAAGAAGCGAAAGUGACGGUACCUGCAGAAAAAGCACCGGCUAACUACGUGCCAGCCGCCGCCGUAA